AGGAGGUGUCUUUGUUUCUUUUUUUGUUUCCUCUGUGUUGAGGCAGUGUUUGUGGACUCACAGACACCUGUGGAGGCUCCUCCCUGAGUUGUGUACGAGACCCUUAGUCCAGCCCACGGGGAGGGGUGGGGGUGGCGUGGGGAGGUAGAGACCCUGGGCCAACACAGUGAGGGAGGGCAGGGGCUUCUCAAGGUCCCAGUGCUUGUCCAAGGUGUUUGAGUGCCCGCUGGGCUGUGUUCCAGGGCUUCCCACUGGCUCUCUCUGGACCAGAGAUUCUGCUUCUGCUCCACCUGAAGUGAUAGAUUGUUCUCCCCGGGAACACUGACGGAAGUCGAGGAUCUUUCUUCUCUGGAAGUGUCUCACCAAACUCAGAGGCACUUGGCACGUGGUGACCACAUAUCCGAGCCCUGCUGCAUGCCAGGGAGAUCCCAGCUUGCAACUUAGACUUCUUUAGGCCUGCUCUGCUGUCAUCAGUGUCAAAAGUUCCUGUCCACCUCUAAACCAGGGGAAAAUAUCCCAUCAAAC
rnacentral:lncRNA from 1 species